rnacentral:rRNA from 1 species
UACGUAGGGUGCAAGCGUUGUCCGGAAUUAUUGGGCGUAAAGAGCUCGUAGGCGGUUUGUCACGUCGGAUGUGAAAACCUGAGGCUCAACCUCAGGCCUGCAUUCGAUACGGGCAGACUAGAGUACUGUAGGGGAGACUGGAAUUCCUGGUGUAGCAGUGAAAUGCGCAGAUAUCAGGAGGAACACCGGUGGCGAAGGCGGGUCUCUGGGCAGUAACUGACGCUGAGGAGCGAAAGCGUGGGGAGCGAACAGG